UCCCACUGUCCCUGUCUACUAUC
rnacentral:snRNA from 1 species